GUUACUGUCUAAAUGUAAUCCAACCAGGGUAGGUUACUGUCUAAAUGUAAUCCAACCAGGGUAGGUUACUGUCUAAAUGUAAUCCAACCAGGGUAGGUUACUGUCUAAAUGUAAUCCAACCAGGGUUGGUUACUGUCUAAAUGUAAUCCAUCCAGGGUAGGUUACUGUCUAAAUGUAAUCCAACCAGGGUUGGUUACUGUCUAAAUGUAAUCCAUCCAGGUUGGUUAGGUUACUGUCUAAAUGUAAUCCAGCCAGGUUGGUUAGGUUACUGUCUAAAUGUAAUCCAGCCAGGGUUGGUUAGGUUACUCUCUAAAUGUAAUCCAACCAGGGUAGGUUAGGUUACUGUCUAAAUGUAAUCCAACCAGGGUUGGUUACUGUCUAAAUGUAAUCCAACCAGGGUAGGGUUGGUUACUGUCUAAAUGUAAUCCAACCAGGGUAGGUUACUGUCUAAAUGUCAAAUCAAAUUUUAUUUGUCACAUACACAUGGUUAGCAGAUGUUAAUGCGAGUGUAGCGAAAUGCUUAAUGUAAUCCAACCAGGGUAGGUUACUGUCUAAAUGUAAUCCAACCAGGGUAGGUUACUGUCUAAAUGUAAUCCAUCCAGGGUAGGUUACUGUCUAAAUGUAACCCAUCCAGGGUUGGGUAGGUUACUGUCUAAAUGUAAUCCAACCAGGGUAGGUUACUGUCUAAAUGUAAUCCAUCCAGGGUUGGUUACUGUCUAAAUGUAAUCCAACCAGGUUAGGUUACUGUCUAAAUGUAAUCCAACCAGGGUUGGUUACUGUCUAAAUGUAAUCCAUCCAGGGUUGGUUACUGUCUAAAUGUAAUCCAUCCAGGGUUGGUCAC
ensembl:lncRNA